rnacentral:rRNA from 1 species
AUGCGCUUCCCCAACCACGACAACGACGACGCCGUGAGCUGCCGACCUCUUCCUGGGCUUCGCAACCAACUUCCAGCAGGUCUACGCGCUGGCGCAGUGCGACGUUUACUGCAGCAACUGCGUCACCCAGGCCGUGCAGCACAUCGCGGUCGAGUGCGGCGGCGCCCCCUCCGGCCAGGGUCUACAAUGCACCACCUUGAUUUGUUGAUUCGGUCUGGAGCAGCAGCAGCAACAGCUCCUUCCUUCCAUGUAGAUGGAGGGCAUGACCUGCACAAGGAGCUCCAAGGUCACAAAGUGAUUGCUAAAAAUGACAGGGAUCAGAUCGACCGCCAAGAAUGA